UGGGGAAUUUUGGACAAUGGGCGCAAGCCUGAUCCAGCCAUGCCGCGUGAGUGACGAAGGCCUUAGGGUUGUAAAACUCUUUCGUCGGGGACGAUAAUGACGGUACCCGAAGAAGAAGCUCCGGCUAACUUCGUGCCAGCAGCCGCGGUAAUACGAAGGGAGCUAGCGUUGUUCGGAAUCACUGGGCGUAAAGCGCACGUAGGCGGAUAGUUAAGUCAGGGGUGAAAUCCUGGGGCUCAACCCCAGAACUGCCUUUGAUACUGGCUGUCUCGAGGUCGAGAGAGGUUGGUGGAAUUCCUAGUGUAGAGGUGAAAUUCGUAGAUAUUGGGAAGAACACCAGUGGCGAAGGCGGCUAACUGGUCCGGUACUGACGCUGAGGUGCGAAAGCGUGGGGAGCAAACAGGAUUAGAUACCCACGUAGUCCCUGAGCGGGCUGGCAAGGCGCAU
rnacentral:rRNA from 1 species